CGUUGGAUUCAAAUACUGGUUCUACGACACAUUAAGAAUUACCAGCAGUGCUUAUAAUCCCUGUGAAACAUGGCUUGCCAUAAAGUCUUCUGGUGGUGGUGCAGUACCUUCUUUGGGACUUACCCUCCUACCAACUACAGUGGUAUAUUCUGGACAAAACGUAGAAAGCAAAUGUUUAAAAUAAUUGGAGAGUGAUCAAAAGGAGGUAGAAUCGGGAAGGCAUUCAACAUUUAGAAGAAGCAACCACAGUAAGUAA
rnacentral:lncRNA from 10 species